GACGAACCGUGCGAACGUUGUCCGGAUUUACUGGGCGUAAAGGGCGCGUAGGCGGCCAGCGCAAGUCAGUUGUGAAAUCUCCGGGCUUAACUCGGAACGGUCAACUGAUACUGCGCGGCUAGAGUGCAGAAGGGGCAACUGGAAUUCUCGGUGUAGCGGUGAAAUGCGUAGAUAUCGAGAGGAACACCUGCGGCGAAGGCGGGUUGCUGGGCUGACACUGACGCUGAUGCGCGAAAGCCAGGGGAGCGAACGGG
rnacentral:rRNA from 1 species